rnacentral:lncRNA from 1 species
GAUAGUGUUGAGUUUAGAAACAUCUGCAGUCAUUUGGCUCUACAGAUUGAAGGAUAGCAGUUUGACAGAGACUUGAAUGCUGCCCACCAGUGUUUGAAGACAAUAGUCAAGAAGCUGAUUCAGUCACUUGCUAAUUUUCCUUCAGAUGCCCACAUGGUAGCCUGUGCUUCCUUGAGACAGAUCUUACAGAAUCUCCCAGACAUAUGA